CCAAACGACUCACAGACCGGUACUGGUCCAGGGCCUGGGGGUUGGGGACGGAUGUGCUAGUAGCCUAAGUGAAGCAGCCGCAUUACUUAAGAAUAUGUUGGCUUCCUUGAAUCCAGGAAUGGAUUCAAGUUGCAACACGGAAUUCGGCAAGUAUGUCCCAUUUCCCCUAAGCUUUUUAUAUUGGCAACUCAACUGUUAACACUAUUAAUCAAGGAAUAUCAAUUUUUAAUAAAGACUUCAAAAUAAGUCAAUUCGCAGAUGAUGCAUUUAUUUUUUUGAAAGAUAAAUACGUGGUAGAGAAAACUAAAUUUUCUCUAAAGCUUCUCGUUUAUCUCUCAGUAUCAAAAAAUGUGAACUGCUCCCGAUUCAUACAAGCUCUGACUCCUCAAUAGCUUUGGUUAUAGUUGAAUCUAAAGUUAAAUAUAUAGGGCUGAUAAUAUCUAAAAACCUAAUUAGCAGAGAAGAUACUAAUAUUUCUAACCGUAUCAUGGAGAUGAAGAAAUCACUUAGCCACUGGUUAACCAGAGACCUCACUAUUUAUGGCAGAAACAUCCUAUCUAAAGCUGAAGGCAUCUCCAAAUUGAUUUAUCCUUGUCACUCUUUAUAUAUCUCCUUUAAAAACAUUAAUAAGGCUAACACAGUUAUUUUCUAAUUUUUGUGGAGGAAUAAAACCCAUUACAUUGAAACAUCUCAGCUUGUGAAGGAAUACAAUAAAGGUGGCAUCAAAGCUCCAGAAUUUGAAUUUAUGGUUGGCACCCUUAGAAUUAAAUGGUUAAAAUCUGUCACAGCCAGACUCUAUGUAGUUCCACAUCCCAUGUUGGAAAGGCUGUCAGCUGUGGGAGGGGAGCCCCCUUGUGGCGAGAGCGCACAGUUGCACUAUUGAGCACAUGUCCCAGUGAUCAGAGUUUCUUGAGCUAACACAGAGCAAAAGGCCACCUGGCAGACUGACUCAGCAGGGGAUGUCUACACACGGUGUGAGUCGUGUGCGUCACUAAAGAAUUACCACACCCACACCCCUCACCACUUUGUAAGCCUGCGGUUGCAUUACUGUGUUGCUGUACUGUGCUGUUAAGCUAAGGAAUCACAGUAAAGACGGUA